AAAUCCGGUUCACUUUAACACUGAGGCGUGACGACGAGGCACUACGGUGCUGAAGCAACAAAUGCCCUGCUUCCAGGAAAAGCCUCUAAGCAUCAGGUAACAUCAAAUCGUACCCCAAACCGACACAGGUGGUCAGGUAGAGAAUACCAAGGCGCUUGAGAGAACUCGGGUGAAGGAACUAGGCAAAAUGGUGCCGUAACUUCGGGAGAAGGCACGCUGACACGUAGGUGAAGUGAUUUACUCAUGGAGCUGAAGUCAGUCGAAGAUACCAGCUGGCUGCAACUGUUUAUUAAAAACACAGCACUGUGCAAACACGAAAGUGGACGUAUACGGUGUGACGCCUGCCCGGUGCCGGAAGGUUAAUUGAUGGGGUCAGCGCAAGCGAAGCUCCUGAUCGAAGCCCCGGUAAACGGCGGCCGUAACUAUAACGGUCCUAAGGUAGCGAAAUUCCUUGUCGGGUAAGUUCCGACCUGCACGAAUGGCGUAAUGAUGGCCAGGCUGUCUCCACCCGAGACUCAGUGAAAUUGAACUCGCUGUGAAGAUGCAGUGUACCCGCGGCAAGACGGAAAGACCCCGUGAACCUUUACUAUAGCUUGACACUGAACAUUGAGCCUUGAUGUGUAGGAUAGGUGGGAGGCUUUGAAGUGUGGACGCCAGUCUGCAUGGAGCCGACCUUGAAAUACCACCCUUUAAUGUUUGAUGUUCUAACGUGGACCCGUUACCCGGGUUGCGGACAGUGUCUGGUGGGUAGUUUGACUGGGGCGGUCUCCUCCUAAAGAGUAACGGAGGAGCACGAAGGUUGGCUAAUCCUGGUCGGACAUCAGGAGGUUAGUGCAAUGGCAUAAGCCAGCUUGACUGCGAGCGUGACGGCGCGAGCAGGUGCGAAAGCAGGUCAUAGUGAUCCGGUGGUUCUGAAUGGAAGGGCCAUCGCUCAACGGAUAAAAGGUACUCCGGGGAUAACAGGCUGAUACCGCCCAAGAGUUCAUAUCGACGGCGGUGUUUGGCACCUCGAUGUCGGCUCAUCACAUCCUGGGGCUGAAGUAGGUCCCAAGGGUAUGGCUGUUCGCCAUUUAAAGUGGUACGCGAGCUGGGUUUAGAACGUCGUGAGACAGUUCGGUCCCUAUCUGCCGUGGGCGCUGGAGAACUGAGGGGGGCUGCUCCUAGUACGAGAGGACCGGAGUGGACGCAUCACUGGUGUUCGGGUUGUCAUGCCAAUGGCACUGCCCGGUAGCUAAAUGCGGAAGAGAUAAGUGCUGAAAGCAUCUAAGCACGAAACUUGCCCCGAGAUGAGUUCUCCCUGAGACUUUAGGUCUCCUGAAGGAACGUUGAAGACGACGACGUUGAUAGGCCGGGUGUGUAAGCGCAGCGAUGCGUUGAGCUAACCGGUACUAAUGAACCGUGAGGCU
rnacentral:rRNA from 1 species